GGCUGUAGGAUGAUGAGGUGACGGGGGGGGGGGGGUGUAGGGGGAGGGGGGCCCAAGGCAGAGACGGCAUGCCGGGGCUACACGAUGACAACCAGAGGCCAGGAGUGUGCUUGUGGGUGUCCAUCCUGCACAGGCUGGGAAAAGGCAGCACCAUGUGGCCAAUAUUUUUCACCAGCUAGCCCUACAGGAAAGCUUAGCCUCCCAGGAUUGGUUCUGAGUCGGCUGCGGGACAUUGAAUAAGAGGCCAAACCCCUCAGCACCCCAGAUUCCUUGCCUCUGAAAUGGAAUAAGAAGAUACCAUGGCAGCCCCCUGCAACAAUCCACCAUUUUUGUUCCCUUUUCACAAGGAAGUGACUGUGGAGGCAAGAACUACAUUUCCCAGCUGCCCUUGCAGUUGGCUGUGGCCAUGUGACUGGUUCUGACCAGUAGGAUAUGAGCACAGUGACACUGGGCACGUGGGCCUUCUCUGCCUGCUUUCCCAUUCCACUGCUGGAAGUCACAGCCACCCGCAGGUCCCCUGGACUUGCUCAAGUCACACCUAUCUGGAGAAGGUCAGAGCAUCACUGGCCCAGCAAAUUCUUAGAUCUCAGUCUGCCUCCCCUCCUUCUGGCAACAUCACUUCCCCUCCUGGCAGCCUUGGCCUCCACCCAGGGCUCUGUCAUUUACUACCAUCCCCAAACCAUAUUUCAGAGUCAUUAAAAGAACAAAGGAGAAGAGUGAAAAUAAAAAUGCCCUGAAGUUU